rnacentral:rRNA from 1 species
CCUACGGGAGGCAGCAGUGGGGAAUAUUGGACAAUGGGGGGAACCCUGAUCCAGCCAUGCCGCGUGUGUGAAGAAGGCCCUCGGGUUGUAAAGCACUUUCAGUGAGGAAGAACGCCUGGUGGUUAAUACCCAUCAGGAAAGACAUCACUCACAGAAGAAGCACCGGCUAACUCCGUGCCAGCAGCCGCGGUAAUACGGAGGGUGCGAGCGUUAAUCGGAAUUACUGGGCGUAAAGCGCGCGUAGGUGGCUUGAUAAGCCGGUUGUGAAAGCCCCGGGCUCAACCUGGGAACGGCAUCCGGAACUGUCAAGCUAGAGUGCAGGAGAGGAAGGUAGAAUUCCCGGUGUAGCGGUGAAAUGCGUAGAGAUCGGGAGGAAUACCAGUGGCGAAGGCGGCCUUCUGGACUGAAACUGACACUGAGGUGCGAAAGCGUGGGUAGCAAACAGGAUUAGAUACCCGGGUAGUC